rnacentral:lncRNA from 10 species
GGAAGAGAUGAUUUCUCCAUCCUGAACGUGCAGCGGGUCUUCCUGCUCUGUUUCCCAGGCUGGAGUGCAAUGGUACCAUCAUAGCUCACUGCAGCCUUAAACUUCCGGGCUCAAGUGAUCCUCCUGCCUCGGCCUCCCAAUGCAUUGGGAUUACAGGUAGCCUCUCCAGCUGUGACUCACUGUUGACAUGGCAACCCCCACCCCCUGGACUCCUCGCUCAACCCACAAAGACUAUCUCUUGCGUACUCUGCUCUGAGGUGUUUUAAAAAGCGCCACCAUAAACCUGUAACACAAGAAUGAAACCCAGCAAGAAUCAGGGGACAGGAACCAAGGAACAUGACAUCACGUGAGAACUAAGGGCCGCUCUGAUUGACCAUAGCAUUUGGCUCUCAGCCUCCCACGGCCAAGGCUAAGGGAGGAUAGGACAAUUGUCUCUCUCACUCUUGAACAAGAGGGAGCUCCUGGAUUCACCGGGAGAGUAAAUUUGACUAGCUUGGACUUCUGCAAGGUAAUUUGUUGUGACUGCAUAUUAAGGAGACUAAUCUUAACAUAAUCUUAACAUAAUUUCUUUAUAUUAAGGAGAUUAAAUAAAUCCAUGGAUAUGUU